AGAGACAGCAGUCGCCACGGUAAUACGUAGGUCCCGAGCGUUGUCCGGAUUUAUUGGGCGUAAAGCGAGCGCAGGCGGUUAGAUAAGUCUGAAGUUAAAGGCUGUGGCUUAACCAUAGUACGCCUUGGAAACUGUUUAAUUUGAGUGCAAGAGGGGAGAGUGGAAUUCCAUGUGUAGCGGUGAAAUGCGUAGAUAUAUGGAGGAACACCGGUGGCGAAAGCGGCUCUCUGGCUUGUAACUGACGCUGAGGCUCGAAAGCGUGGGGAGCAAACAGGAUUAGAUACCCGCGUAGUCCCUGUCUCUUAUACC
rnacentral:rRNA from 1 species